rnacentral:pre_miRNA from 1 species
UGACAGAAGAGAGUGAGCACACAUGGUGUUUUUCUUGCAUGAAAAAUCAUUCUUACAUGCUUGAAGCUAUGCGUGCUCACUCUCUCUCUGUCA